GGUGGAGUUUAUUUGUAUACAUAUAUUGUUAUAUAUUUAUUUCAAUUUAUUUGUUGUCAAACGUGGACGUGGUGUUGGUUUGCGUUAUACGUGGAUUUAUUAUUAGUGUUAAUUUAAGAAAAAAUUGACAAAAGACAUGAAAAUAUAGUGUACAUUAGUUUGUAUUUUUGUUGUAGGAUGUUCAGUGAAUUGUGAUUAGAUGAGGCGUCGUUGUUAUCACAAGUUUUGUACAUGGAAGUCCAGAUGAGAGUGCGAGAUGAGCGAAUAUAAAAUUACAAUGAUGCCUCGUGCUUUCUGACUUCCUAUACAUGUUAAGAACGAAACUUCGGGCUGCGAUAGCAAUUAUGGAGGUUGCAGAAAAAUUUAAGGAAUUCCGCGUCUGCAUAGGGAUCUGCUAGUAGACAAUGAUUACGACCAGGCUCAACAAUCGUAUAUUUUAUCGUUUUUGAUAGUCGUAUAGAUAGAUUCGUUUUGUUCGAAAUUCUAUGUAUAGGGCGGUGUAUCCAGUACUAUUGACUUUUAAUUUUGUUCACUGUAUAUGAAAUUUGGAAAUGUCAUUUUAUUUAGAAUUGUAUUUUGUAGGUUUCAUUAUUUUCAAUAAAGAAUACAACUGGAACGAGUCACUAUACACUAUUUUACUAGAACAAAAGUUU